UACGUAGGGGGCAAGCGUUGUUCGGAAUUACUGGGCGUAAAGGGCGCGUAGGCGGCACGACAAGUCGGGAGUGAAAGCCCGGGGCUCAACCCCGGAAUGUCUCUCGAAACUGUCGAGCUAGAGUGCAGAAGAGGCAACUGGAAUUCCCAGUGUAGCGGUGAAAUGCGCAGAUAUCAGGAAGAACACCCGUGGCGAAGGCGGCUCUCUGGGACGGUACUGACGCUGAGACGCGAAAGCGUGGGGAGCGAACAGG
rnacentral:rRNA from 1 species